rnacentral:lncRNA from 1 species
ACCAGGUUUGCCCCGCAAUGUUACAUGAUCUCUUAAGUGGUAUCAUAUAAGUUAAACUGAGAUUGUACAAAGUUUAAAAUACUAAAUGAAACUAAAACGGCAUAAAAGUCGUCUAUAACCAUUUUCAUUUCAGGUAAAACAACUAAAUAGUAAUAAACUGAACUUUUAAGUAAUCAGAGAGAGGCGGCAGAGCCGACCAUUUCAAGGCAAAGGAAUAUAAUAACAAUUUAUAUUCACUAACAAAGUUAAAUAAAAAUCAAUAUCAUAAACAUAAACUUAAUAAACUUAAUAUUAAAAGAGAAUAAAUAGAUCAAAAUAGUAAUUAUAAAGUAGACAAAGUUAAAUAAAAUUGACGUGGAUAAAGGAGAGUAUAUGUAAUCAUAAAAUUAAAGUUCAAUAUACAUAAUUAAAACUGGUUAGACAUACUUAUAAAAAUAUAGAGUAGAUUUAAUUAAAAAGAGUAGAUAUAGUUAUCACCUUGCUAAUUUAUCUUUUCCCCUUUUCAUUUUUCUUCUUCUCUUUGUCAUGUCCUCUUCUAUUUUCAUUCGUUCCAUUCUAUAUUUUGUCCCCUUCAUACAGUUUAUAUCUCUUUUGCUUCUCCUAAGUCCUAACUCAUCUCCGUCUCCAAAAUCAUGCAUUAUUUCUUUCUUUC